ACACCUACGGGGGGCAGCAGUGGGGAAUAUUGCACAAUGGGCGCAAGCCUGAUGCAGCCAUGCCGCGUGUAUGAAGAAGGCCUUCGGGUGGUAAAGUACUUUCAGCAGUGAGGAAGGGGUGUAUGUUAAUAGCGUGCAUCUUUGACGUUAGCUGCAUAAGAAGCACCGGCUAACUCCGUGCCAGCAGCCGCGGUAA
rnacentral:rRNA from 1 species